UACGAAGGGGGCUAGCGUUGCUCGGAAUCACUGGGCGUAAAGCGCACGUAGGCGGCCAGGUAGGUCGGUUGUGAAAACUGGAGGCUCAACCUUCAGACGUCGACGGAAACCGCGUGGCUAGAGUCCGGAAGAGGAGAGUGGAAUUCCUGGUGUAGCGGUGAAAUGCGCAGAUAUCAGGAAGAACACCAAUGGCGAAGGCAGCUCUCUGGGACGGUACUGACGCUGAGACGCGAAAGCGUGGGGAGCGAACAGG
rnacentral:rRNA from 1 species